AUAAUAGGUGACUGACUGUGAAACAAAUAUGUACUCAAAUAUUUUUUUUUGUUCUUGUGAUGAGUUAUUAGCAGUUAUUGUGGUAGAAGGUUUUACCCGAAAGAAAAUUAAGACAAAAAUGAUGUAUUAUUAAUUUUUGAAUGUAGGAUCAUUUCUAAUGACACAAGGUAAGCCACCACUAUUGGCUGGGUUAUUGGAAUUUGUAUGACGAUACAAAUAUCUGUGCAAAUUGAGUCACUUUCUAAUAAAAAUAUCAAUUAUAAACACAUAUAACUGUUUUUUUAAUUUAACACUCCUAUUAACAUGGAUUUUAAAAAUUUCAUUGACCUAGAUUCAUGCCUAUUACCGAUGUCGUCUCGUUAUUUCGACGAUUCUUCUCUGUCGUGCUCGUGUCGUUUUUUAGUUAACAUUCCACAAGUUCUUUGACGAGACGAAUUUGCAGCAGAUUUUUUAACGAUGCAAAAGUAACAAACAUCUGUCAAAAUGAAACUAAAGCUAAAUAAAAAUCAUUGUUCAAUGUUUAACAAAUGCCGCUUUAUAAAUAAAUAAGUAAUUAAAAUAAUAAGUUUAGAAAUGUAUUACAACACGAAAAGCUAUAGUCAUGAUGAUGAAAAAGGUGGAAUGCGAAGUUUUGAAAAAGCACAAUUAAUAAUAAAAAGAAAGCAGAUAAGACAAACUUCAAAUCCAUUUGAUUUGCCUGAUUCAAAGUGAUUUCACUUUUUAUAUUAAAUUUAAGUGAAACUUUUGUACCCUUUAACAGAUUCAAGCAGUGCUUUAGAUUGUCCAAGGAAGCAUUUAGAUAUGCGUUGGAUGAAAUAAAUAACAAGGUACCGAUUCGGCAACGUUCAUCAUCGAUUCUAAUAAUAUUGAGGCUCGCAGUCACCUUAGGAAUUCUUUGACCCAAAUGGAUUCGAUUUCAAAUGACAGAUGUAGAAAAAUCUGAAGCUAAGCUUUGCUUCUUUAAUAAUACAGGAUUUCCUGGUGUUGUUGGAUGUGUAGUUCAAACAAAGAGACCAAUAGAACCCAUCUGCUCAACGAUGUCCUUAAACUGAUUCUGAUUUGUUAAUUUCAACUGCAAAUGUGAAUAAAUAUUUUGUUUUUAUUUAUCGCAAAUAAAGUACUAAUAAAUUCCAAAAAAUAAAUUAUUUAACAAGGAAACUUACAGUUUUUCGAACUUCCAUUUCUUCGUCGUGAGAAAAUUUUCAAACGAGAGAUACUGUCUCCUUUUUUUUCAUUGUCAUCGUUUCCUUUCGUCUUACAAAAUGCUGAAUGAAGGCUUUCAACACACUUGACGUUUACACACGACAACAAAACGAGUGACAAAAGUUGAAAACGACUUAUGGAAUGCAGAUUGUGUCGUGUAGUAUAUUUUGGUUUCGUUUACAACUUCGGUAAUAGGGGUAAUUAUAACAUCAAGAU